ACACAAGAAUAAAAUAUUGCAAAUUAGUUGUAUAUAUUUCAUUUCAGUAACACAUCACAUGAAUUACAAUACAUCAUCCAUCGACUCCUCUACACAUAAAGGUUCAAGGCCCAACAAGUGCACAACAUAACAUCAAUGAUAAACGAAGCUUCUUGUUCUCUUCUCCCGUCAUGUCCUCUACUUCUUUUGGGUGCUUCAGAUCAUCCUGUUUAUUCAAAUAAUCAAACAUAAGAAAGCAUACAACUUCUCUCAAUGAAGGUACGAUAAAAUACAUGUGAAUCUUUUUUUAUUCUAAUCUUUACGUCUCUGAAUAAUUGUCUAUUCUGCUUCUAAUCACCAUGACGUCAAAAAUGCAUGCAAAGUGUGCGUGCACCUGGUACAGAAUAUUAUAAUGUAGCAUAUAUGUUUGCAUUUAUCGCACAAGAAAGAAGGCAUACAGAGAUAAGGUAUGAAAUAUACAUGAAGGCCAAAUACCACAGAAACAAUUACAUAUUCUUUCCCUGAUACUCUGAGAGCAUAAGCUAUUCGGCUCAGAAAAGAACAAUGAAAGUAGGCAGUGGCGGAGCCAGCGCCCGACCACCCGGGCACUUGCCCAGGCUCGAUGGCUGUGAGACAGCUUACAUACAUGAUAAACAGUGGGCAGAUUCUACCGUGCGUCUUGGUUUACGUGGGCAACAUCCAUGCACGUAUGAUUCUCAAACAAAAGGUUCAUGCAUGUAUGUGAUAAACAAUGGGCUACUUAAUUAGGCCUACUAUAAGCAUCUAACCAAUAUUCAACCUCCUCUGUUUUUAAAUAUAAGAUCUUUUAAAGAUUUUACUACAGAGUAUGUAUGAAACAAAAUAAGUAAAUAAAUAUNAUAAAUAUUUUAAAAUAUAUCUAUAUACAUCCUUAUAUAGAUUGUUCCUACAUAACUAGUUCUUCCAAAAUAACUAGUUCCUACAUUUCGAUCUGCAAAGUCAAAGAUGCUGCAUUACAGGGAGUAAUCGAUCAUAUAUACUCCUCUCUAGUAUGAAGAUUAAACAAGACAUGGCAAGCUUGCAAACUACCUCCAGCGUUACUGUUAAAGGAGUUCCACCUCAUUCGAUCUGCAAAUUUAUCUCCUUGUCAACGCUCUCGUCAAGCAAGGACUCCAUAGUGAGAAAUUUUGUUACAACCUUUAAAUAGUUAAGAACAUCGUUGAAUAAGAAAUUAAUGUGGUAUGCCAAAUUAAAAUAACAUGGAAAAUGCAUCAGUGAAAAGAAAUAUAGUGAACAACAAGCAGCCAAGUUUAUAAAACAUGAUGAUUUUAAAUGACAGUAUGGUUUAUACAACAAGGAGCCAAAUUAUGCUAGAGUACAAGUUUAUACAGCAAGGAAUAGUGCAUAAAUUUGGAGUAUGGAGUAAAUGACAGUACUUCAAAAAAAUAUGGAGUAAUGCAUAAAUUUGUACUCUAGCAAGUUUACUGCAUACUCAAGUUAAAUUCAGUUUACUCUUAAAUGACAGUAACUCAGUUUAUUGUUAAAUGACAAUACUCCAGAAAGGAGUGAUUCAGUACUUUGAUUACCUUGGACUAACACUGAUCAUGCAAACAUCAACACCCAUUGUUGAAAACAGCAAUCCAAUUAUUUGUCCUUUUCUAUCGGUAAGCAAGUACAGGCCCUGAACCGAGUUGCACUUGGGGUUAUCUAGCUGAUGGAUAAGCUGAUCAGCCUCACAUUUCACUUUCUUCCUCCUUUGCUAUCGACUUGGGUAAUCUAGUAGAUUUCCAUGCAUUGUUGGUUGGUGCGAAAAAUAACUAACCCAACAAAGUCUCAUGUGGCUCUAGAUUAGCAGUAAGUCUGUCAAUAUGUUGGUCAAUAUGGCAAGAUUUUGCGAAAGGAAGUUGGCACAUAUAUCGUGUGAAUAACUACAAAAGGAAGUUAAUUUUUUCUUAGAAAACAUAAAAGAAAGUGAGAAGCAGGACGAAUAGAUAAACUGCAUUUGAUAGGGAUGACAGUAAAUUCAGUUAACUAUUGUGUCAAAAUUCAGUUAACUGACUUUUAGAGUGAAAUUUUAGACUUGCUUGCAAUAAGAAGUACACUUUAUAUUCAGAGCAGGAUACAAAACUGAUUUUUUAGCAAAAUAACUAAAUCUGUUCAGAAAGAUUCAGUUUGACAAAAUCUUACUCUAAAUUUUCAUCGUUGAGAUGAUUGCACAGUGGUUGUCAGAGAUAUCUCUUGUUGCAAAAUCUUGCUCUAAGUUUGACAAAAUUCAGCUGCAAUUUCAAAAGAAUAAAUAGAUGAGCAAGUAAUUCACUUUCUGCAGACAGAAGAUCUUGUGG
rnacentral:lncRNA from 1 species